AUAAUACUCCAUAGUUCAUGGAAUCUGGAAUGAUCCAUGGAUGAAAGUUCCGGCGCUUAAGGAUCGGUCUGCGGCCUAUCAGGUCGUAGUGGGUGUAACGUACCUACUAGCCUAUGACGGGUAUGGGCCUUGAGAGAGGGAGCCCAGAGUUGGAUUCUGAGACACGAAUCCAGGCCCUACGGGGCGCAGCAGUCGCGAAAACUUCACAAUGGGGGCAACCCCGAUGAGGGAAUUCCUAAUGCUAGCACAUUUGUGUUAGCUUUUCUUUAGCGUAGAUAACUAGAGGAAUAAGGGCUGGGAAAGACGGGUGCCAGCCGCCGCGGUAAUACCUGCAGCCCAAGUGGUGGUCGAGUUUAUUGAGUCUAAAACGUUCGUAGCCGGUUCGGUAAAUCUUUGGGUAAAUCGGGGGGCUUAACCUUCCGACUUCCGAGGAGACUGCCGAACUUGGGACCGGGAGAGGCUAGAGGUACUUCUGGGGUAGGGGUAAAAUCCUGUAAUCCUAAAAGGACCACCGGUGGCGAAGGCGUCUAGCUAGAACGGAUCCGACGGUGAGGGACGAAGCCCUGGGUCGCAAACGGGAUUAGAUACCCCGGUAGUCCAGGGUGUAAACGCUGCAGACUUGGUGU
rnacentral:rRNA from 1 species